CCCCACCUGUAUACACAUAUCACCAUUUUCCACCGUUGAUACCAAACCGCCGCCACAACCAUCACUGCUGCUCUUGCUAUUCAUCUCAAAAAACCGAAUCCCUCUGCAAACAGGGCAAGUCACGUGCAUUUUAAGCCACGUGUCAAUACAUUCCAGGUGGAACACGUGCUUGCAGUAUGGUAUUAUUUUGACGGUGUCUU
rnacentral:misc_RNA from 1 species